rnacentral:lncRNA from 1 species
UGGACUUUAAUCAUUAAUAUAUAAUAGAGGAACAUUUCCUCUAUUUUUUUCUUAAUUAAUCCAAUUAUCUUUCAACAUAAUUACGUGUCACUAAAUGGUACCUUUGCUGUUUGUACCUAUUCCCCAAGGGCUUGUGACUUCCUCUGUCCUCCAACAGCAUCAAUCAACCAACAUAAUUGUUUUUGCUUUUUCUCUAGGCAUAUUACACAAAUCCCCUUUGGCCCAUCCCAGGAAAUGAUUUUUUUUGGAAUAGGAAGGUUUUGCUCUUCAUUGGAUUGAUCAUCACUAGUACUGCUUCUGUAGCUUUUCAAAUGGAGGCUCGUGUUAUAUCUUAAUUCUUUUUUUUUAUUAGCUGUAUGAGAUAUGUUAUUCUAAUUUGUUGAGAUAGAUACAUCACAUGCAACAUAAACAAUGCCAUCUUGCUCAAUUAGUAUUGAAAAUGAUAAUAGAACAGCCUACCAUUUUUGCUGAUGAAGUUUUCUUUUCUUCUCUGUAAUUAAAUCCUAAAUAAGACAGGUUCAAAUUAUAUGAUGUGUAUUAUUGUAGUUUGUUGAGAUGGAUAUAUCACAUACAUCAUGCACCAGAUAUAAUCUCAUCUUUACUCAACUACCAGUAAAAAUGACAAUCGAUCAGCCGAGUGCUACCAUUUUGCGGAUCAAUAGGCUUAGUAGAUCUCACAAAAUGUGAUGUCUUUGAUGCUUUUUUCCUAUGAAAAGUCUGAAACAAAUAACAGGAACCUAAAAUAAAGGAUUUUUAACUGAGUGAUUCAAAAGAGAUGCCCAUACCAUGAUAACAAAUUAUGUCUAGAUCAACUUUUGUUAACCUAAGAGCAGUCAAUGGAGAGACGAUGCCUUGUGAUUCUCUACUACCUAAUCCCUUACCUUCAACAAAGCCCAUCUUUGCCAUCAUCUUAGACCCAAAACCUUUAGUAUGUCUCUCAAAAGCACCCACUCUUGAAGAUCUGUUCCUAUCAGGUUCACCUGGCUUUUGGACACAAACCAGGUAAUUCAGCAACAACUCAUACUGAUUAGCAUAUGAACCACUUUAUCCACUCCCUCUCUUGUCAUUCACUUUAUGGCUACCUCAGUACUUGUUCUAGGAAGAUUGAAGUUUAUGUAAAUUAACUUGUUUUAACAUGUUUCUUUCCAACUCUUUUCUGUCUCCACUCACAAGAUUUCUUAUUUACAGUGACAGAUCAUAUACUACAGAAGGUUGAAGUAUGGAUAAUUCCAAAUAUGUAACAUCAUCAUAUAUCUACGAAGUGGAAUGUAACUGUGGAAAAAAUGUAUUUCCUAUGAUUUUUUCUGCAUGAUUUUUAAUAAAAUAAUUAUUCUUUUAAUCCUUGUAUCAGAAUUAUAGUAAACAAAUCUCGC